GAUGAACGCUGGCGGCGUGCCUAAUACAUGCAAGUCGAGCGAACAGAUGAGGAGCUUGCUCCUUUGACGUUAGCGGCGGACGGGUGAGUAACACGUGGAUAACCUACCUAUAAGACUGGGAUAAUUUCGGGAAACCGGAGCUAAUACCGGAUAAUAUAUUGAACCGCAUGGUUCAAUAGUGAAAGACGGCUGUGCUGGCACGUAUAGAUGGAUCUGCGCCGCAUUAGCUAGUUGGUAAGGUAACGGCUUACCAAGGCAACGAUGCGUAGCCGACCUGAGAGGGUGAUCGCCCACCCUGGAACUGGGCCACGGUCAAGACUCCUGCGGGAGGCAGCAGUAGGGAAUCUUCCGCAAAGGGCGAAAGCCUGACGGAGCGGCGCCGCGUCAGAGAUGAAGGUCUUCGGAUCGUAAAACUCUGUUAUUGGGUGAAAACAAAUGUGUAAGUAACUAUGCACGUCUUGACGGUACCUGAUCAGAAAGCCACGGCUAACUACGUG
rnacentral:rRNA from 1 species